GCCGCUAUAUAAGGGGGGAAUGGCCCGGUCGCCCCAGUCGGAGCAUCACUCGCCGCGGUGGUGCUGGUCCUGGUCCCCGGGCACCUGCAUCGACAGCCGCCUCCCUCGGUGUUGAGGGGGGCUCCCGGACCCCCCCCCGGGGUGUGUGUGUGUGUGGGGGGGGUGGGGGGGGGGGGCUGUGGAGAUGAAGGAGGAUGAGGAUGCCGUUCCCCGCGGGGGGAGCGGCUCGGAGGCGGCAGCGGCGCGGCCCGAUGGAGAUAAGCUCAGCGCUAGGACUGGCACAUGUCCAGGUGGGCUGUACGGCUGUUGGAGGGACAGGAACCUGCUGUCAGCGUCUGGGACCUGGGGUGCCAGUGACACCAAGAGGCGGUCGGACUCGUUUGGUAGCUGGAUGGCCAAAUGCUUGUCUCUGAUGCAACAAACUUGGAAGUAAACUACAGGAAUUAAAGCUGAUGGGAGCUUUUGCACAUUUCCAAGGCUAGGAAGAACAGGUCUCCUUGUCUGCCGGGGGGAGCUUGUACAUGAGCUCUAGCAGCUUCCCUCAUAGCAGAGCUCUAGCUGGCCACGGACUUGAUUUGGCACAUGUUGUUCCAGCAUCUCCUCAGCGAGUUGGAGGUUUUGGUAGCUUGUCAUUACUGAAAGGGGCAGAAGCUGUCAGCCACGAUAGCUGUUGGACUGUCCUCGUACCUAGAAGCAAGGAGACAAGAGUCUGGCCACGUGCAGGUUUGGGAUUUCUCCCCUUCCACCGAGCAAACGGGCCCGAGCCAAGAGGAUUUAUCACUGGAUGCUUUCUCUCUGCUGGGAUCUCUGGAGUGAUAAGCUCCUGUGGACUGAUGUGGGUUUUGGAUGCUCCCUUCCGUCUGUAGCUGGGAAUGUCAUGGCCAGAAGGCUGCAGGCACCUGCUUCUCUCAAUCUGGUGGAUUACUACUUUUGGCAUUAUUCUGCUCGUGCUGUGGUUUUUUACUAAGCUGGUGGAACUGGCUUCGUUACAUGCAAUCUCCCAAUUUACAGAUGUGGAAAAGCAGCAGUUACAGCCCAGUGCUACAGAGCUUUUUCUGGGCUACUUACUCUGAGCAUCGUGGUUUUGGACAAGGAGGAAGGAGUUCACACACAAGUGCAGGAGAAAUCCUGCUGGCCUUAGGGUCCGUGGUGAAGGCUCAGGGUGCGGGGACCUGAGAGGAGACAGCCAAGGCGCUGCAGCACUUGAUCGUGACCAAAACACCCAGGAGCAGCCUCCCGGGGACGGGCACUUCAGCUGCGAGGAUGCAGAGAGGGACAGCAGGGACCAGCAGCUCGCCUUCAGCUCGCCGGGGAGCGACGGAGCACGAGGGGCUGCGGUGAGCUCUCCUCCACCCAACGCCCACUGCCAAAACCAGCUUCCCCACCAGUUGCCCCUGUAUACUUGCUGGGCUCCACCACGUCCCCAGCCCGGCGAGGGGGGUUUCCUCCCGGCUCUGACCUCGCUCCUGACUCCCACACGGAGCCAAAAAGACUUAAUUAGCUGCUCUCUGCUGGGCUUUGGAAAUUAUCCUCUUGGCUGGGAAGUGCUGGUGAUGGAUGGCGAAGUGCUCUUGGGUCAAACAGUAGCUCGAUGCUUUUCCCUGUGGAGGACCAAGUGCUUGCCCGGUUCCAAGGAAUCAGCUGUGGAUUUUUUUCCUUUUUUACCCCUCUACUCUUCUUUUCGAUGCCUUUUGGGGUCUUGGGCUUUUCGUGAGGACGGCUGGACCCAGCCUGAAGCACGUGGCAUUCGCAAAGUGCCGAUGCGCACAGUGGGAGCUGGAGGGGCGAAAGCCUUCGGAGGAGCCUUGGGGUGGAAGCUGAGUUGGUGAUCGCAGUGCCCGGGGGUUUAAAACUGUCUGGCAGAGUCUCAUUUUGUGCCGGGGGUGUUGGGUGGCCUCCGGGGGGGGGGGGGGUCCUCCUGCCGCAGUUGGCUGAGCACCCUUGGCCCCGGCACAUCCCACGUGGAGCCCAGCGCAGGAGCGGGGGAUGCCAAACCGCAGCGAGGGGAAUGUCAAGACAGGGGGAAAAUGUCACCCUCAGAAACAAUUAAACUUCUUAAUAAAACCCGUUGCCUCUGUGA